AGAUCAAAGGAUUGCAGCUGGAAAAUGAUAAUAUGAGUCUUGCAGCUUAAUGAAGAUUGAUUGCGUUGUUGACUCUGUGACUGUCUGAAGCAAGAGCAGAGUUGCUGACUGCCCAGCACUCAGUUUGAGCAAGAACGUUUCAGCACCUAAUGUAUUUGUUCUAAGCAUCUUCCCCACAAGGUUGCCACUGGAAAUGGGUGACAUGAGAAUUGCAUCUUGAUGGAGAGACUGCUGCUUCUGCAUCAUGCACACCCUUUGUUGAGAAGGCACGAGACGGAGG